rnacentral:rRNA from 1 species
GUGCCAGCCGCCGCGGUAAGACAGAGGGUGCAAACGUUGCUCGGAAUUACUGGGCGUAAAGCGCGUGUAGGUGGCUUGUUAAGUCGGGUGUGAAAUCCCUCGGCUCAACCGAGGAAGUGCAUUCGAUACUGGCAAGCUCGAGUACCGGAGAGGGUCGUGGAAUUCCUGGUGUAGAGGUGAAAUUCGUAGAUAUCAGGAGGAACACCGGCGGCGAAGGCGGCGACCUGGACGAGUACUGACACUCAGACGCGAAAGCGUGGGGAGCAAACAGGAUUAGAUACCCCCGUAGUCC